rnacentral:lncRNA from 1 species
AGACAUCCAGGACAAACCAUGGGGAACACAGCUGCCACUGAGAGAAGCUGCCCGGAGGAGGAAGGGGCUGCAAAGUUCAACCACCAGGCAAGAUGAAGAAAUUGAGAAACAGAAAGUAUGAUGAUUUGCUUAAGACCAGAUGACAAUUAUCUGCAGAAUGAAGACAAUCCUGACCUCCAUCAGUGGAUCCCUUCGCCACCUCCACAGUCUCCCCAUUGCAUGGACACAGACACAUGACAGAUGCACACAUAUGUGCAAAACACUUAUACAGAACACACUCCUCCACCUCCACCUCACUACCACGCAAUCCCAAGACAGCAUUGCCCUUCUCUGGACCCAGCCACUCGGUCAACACAUAUUUACGAACAUUAUGCUAGGCACUGGCAAUAAAAUAAUGAACACCAGAAGACACAGUUCCUGAGUCUCACAGAGAUGACCCAGGAUCAUUCAGAGUCUAGGAUGAGGCAGGGAUUAGGUGGGGAUGAGGAUGAUAAGAGCAGCGUUGGGGAAGUACAGGAUAAGAUGAGAACACACACCAAGGGCACCUAACUUUUUCUCUGGAGGACCAGGAAAGGCACCCUGGAGGAUGAGACAUCCGAGCUGAGGUGCAAAAGAUGGGUUGGAGUUGGCAAGGCCCAAAGUGAGGCUAAAAAGAGAGUUGAGGGGAGUGUUCCACACAGAGGAAGGAACGUGUACGAAAACUUGGAGGCAAGAGCGGCAUGGCACUUUUGAGGAACUGCGAGAAGUAGAGUGUGGCCAGGGAUAAUGCUCUGGUCGGGAGAUGUGUCCAUUGAGGCUGCAGAGGAAGCAGGUAUCUGCAUGUGAAGGCGGCAAACCUUGUUGGUGUUGAUGGAGUUGGUGUUUGUCUUGCAGGCACUGGAAAGCCAUUGACGGAUUUAGUGAGUGCCACUGGUGACAAGCUCUUAUUAAGACAUUCUCCUUUUGCCCACUAUAAGAAUCUAUGGAUAUAAAUGUUUUCUGAUCCU